rnacentral:pre_miRNA from 1 species
ACGCCGAGCCAGACGCGCAAUGCCUUAAAGUCAGCGUUUUGUUCGUUCGGCUCGCGUUA